GGAGUUAGCCGGUGCUUCUUCUGCGAGUAACGUCACAGAUGUAAGGUAUUAACUUACACCCUUUCCUCCUCGCUGAAAGUGCUUUACAAUCCGAAGGCCUUCUUCACACACGCGGCAUGGCUGCAUCAGGGUUUCCCCCAUUGUGCAAUAUUCCCCACUGCUGCCUCCCGUAGGAGUCUGGGCCGUGUCUCAGUCCCAGUGUGGCUGAUCAUCCUCUCAGACCAGCUAGGGAUCGUCGCCUAGGUGAGCCUUUACCUCACCUACUAGCUAAUCCCACCUGGGCUUAUCCAUCAGCGCAAGGCCCGAAGGUCCCCUGCUUUCCCCCGUAGGGCGUAUGCGGUAUUAGCAGUCGUUUCCAACUGUUAUCCCCCACAAAUGGGCAAAUUCCCAGGCAUUACUCACCCGUCCGCCGCUCGUCAUCUUCAAAAGCAAGCUUUUGAAAUGUUACCGCUCGACUUGCAUGUGUUAGGCCUGCCGCCAGCGUUCAAUCUGAGCCAGGAUCAAACUCUGA
rnacentral:rRNA from 1 species